UGGUGGCGAUAGCGAAGAGGUCACACCCGUUCCCAUACCGAACACGGAAGUUAAGCUCUUCAGCGCCGAUGGUAGUCGGGGGUUUCCCCCUGUGAGAGUAGGACGCCGCCA
rnacentral:rRNA from 4 species